CGGGAGACCGGGGUUCGAUUCCCCGCCGGA
rnacentral:sRNA from 1 species